CCUACGGGAGGCAGCAGUGGGGAAUAUUGCACAAUGGGGGAAACCCUGAUGCAGCAACGCCGCGUGAGUGAAGAAGGAUUUAGGUAUGGAAAGCUCUAUUAGCAGGGAAGAAAAUGACAAUACCUGAAUAAGAAUCACCGGCUAACUACGUGCCAGCAGCCGCGGUAAUACGGAGGGAGCAAGCGUUAUCCGGAUUUACUGGGUGUAAAGGGAGCGUAGACGGCUGCGUAAGUCAGAAGUCAAAGCCCGGGGCUCAACCUCGGGACUGCUUUUGAAACUGUGUAGCUAGAGAGUAGGCGAGGUAAGCGGAAUGUCUGGUGUAGCGGUGAAAUGCUUAGAGAUUAGGAGGAACACCGGUGGCGAAGGCAGCUUAC
rnacentral:rRNA from 1 species